GACGAACCGAGCGAACGUUGUUCGGAAUCACUGGGCUUAAAGGGCGCGUAGGCGGGUCAUCAAGUCCGGGGUGAAAUCUUUCGGCUCAACCGGAAAAGUGCCUUGGAUACUGGUGAUCUCGAGGGAGGUAGGGGCAGCUGGAACUUCCGGUGGAGCGGUGAAAUGCGUUGAUAUCGGAAGGAACUCCGGUGGCGAAGGCGAGCUGCUGGACCUCUUCUGACGCUGAGGCGCGAAAGCCAGGGGAGCAAACGGG
rnacentral:rRNA from 1 species